UUAGUUAAAAUAUUAUGAUGAUCUGCUCCUCAAUGUUGAUUUUCAUGGAGCUAUGAGUAGAAGGGUGAACCAACACUGAAGUAAGAUAAAAACACAGGUUAAAGAGGUAUGCACAAAGCCUCCUCCAAACCUUGUUAUCAUCAUCCAUCUCAUUCAUUGCAAACAGUCUUUUAGGUAGAAGCUAUAUUAUAAUUAAUAAUAAUUAUUAUUAUUAUUAUUAUUAUUAUUAUUUGAAGAGUAGGCAAAUGAUUAUGCUAUGAAAUUUUGGGUUUGCGAAAGUCUUUAACGUAUAACUUCAGUGCUAUAAAAACAAUGACCAGCUUAAAGAGAUGGGCGAGGAGGAUUGGGCCGGGGGUGGUGGUCUCACUCUAUCGCAUCAGUCAUGGCUGGUGCACCUGCACUGCAAAUCCUUGUAGAAGCUCAUUGGUUCUGUAAGUUGUGUGAUGGUGAAUGUUGAUCAUCGAUCAUCAUCAUCAUCAUCAUCAUCAUAUAUUGGCACACGUUUCAAUAAGAGGUAUUGGGAGGUUGUGGGUUGAUGUUGACUCCCGCCCUUAUAUAGCCUUAGCAACUAGUACGCAAACGGGCUCUUUGCAUGAUUUCAAUUCUUCACUUUCUCGAUUGCUUUCUUUCUCUUUUCUUGUACUACACAUAAAACUCAGCAACUGUUUAGCAUAUAUAGAGGGAGCCACCACCAGCAGGCAGCAGCAGCAGUAGUUGGUAAUAAUUGACUUUAUUUCUUCUUCCAAUCACAUAGGCAGUAAGAAGAAGAGAAAAGAAAGGCUACAACAGAGUGGACUUUCCGCUUUUCAUGCAACUACUCUGAUGUCUGUAAUUUCCCACAACAACGACAUCACACUAUCUACAGCUGAACAGCUUAUUUGCGUAAAAUUUAUUGAACCGCUGAUGAAUGAUGAUGAGCAUCAAUUUUAUGGGGAAACGGAAAAGCAAAAAAAACAAGAGAACAAAAAAUAAGAAAGUGGCUUUUGUUUUGGUGGGUGAUAAAUUCUCUUUUUUUCAUCUUUUCCUUGUCAUCGAUUUAUUAUUAAAUAUUAUUAUUACAAUUUAUGACCAUGACCCUCCCCUUAUCUUGAAGCAGUAAUAGUGCAGUAAUGGGCGGAGCUAUGUAGUCAAAGUGCGUGCAUAGGAUUCUAUUUGGACAAUAUAUUUUUUUGAAAAAUAAUGAAUGAUUUUAUA
rnacentral:lncRNA from 1 species